UUCAGCACAAUGGAUCAGCGGUACGUCUGGAGGAAGAAGAAUGAAGAAAGUACACUCUGUUCACAGUCGAGCAUGGUGGAGGCUCGGUGAUGCUCUGCGGCUGCUUUACGUCCUCUGGCACUGGAAACCUGCAGCGUGUGGAAGGAGAGAUGGAUUCAUCGAAGCAUCAGGAAAUCCUAGGAGGCAACCACGUGUUGUCUGUGAGGAAGCUGAAGCUUGGUCGUCGUCGGACUUUCCAACAGGACAACGAUCCCAAGCGUACCUCAAAUUCCACCGAGGCUUGGCUGCAGAAGAAGUCCUGGAAGAUUCUACAGGGCCAUCACAGUCACCUGACUCGAACCCCAUAGAGAAUCUCUGGUGGGAUCUGAAGAAGGCGGUUGCAGCACGCAAACACAAGAAUAUUACUGACCUGGAGGCCAUCGCUCAUGAGGAAUGGGAUCAGAUUCCUCAGGAACGCUGCAGAAGCUCUGCAUCUCGUCUGCAGCAGGUCAGAACAGGAAAAGGAGCUCCACUAAAUACUAAAGCUGCUCUCCAUGAAGGGGGGGAAUAAUCUUGAAACUGGAGAGAUCAUAAGUUGCAUUUGCAGUUGAAUUUGGGGAAACCCCUCGAAGCAUCCGUUGUGUCGAACUAUUUAAAGUGCUUGUGUUUGAUCUGUUCAUCGCAAACAGCUGAAAGUCUGUACAUUUUGACAAGGAACCUGAUUUGCACUGGGGGGUGAAUACUUCUGAUUGUAACUGCAAGCACUCAGUCACACUUUCGCUCAUUUAAUCGUUGACUCAAUUAGUUACAUAUUCUUUAAUUACUCACUCGCUGAAUCACUUACUCAUUCCCUCACUCCUUCAUUUCACCACAGACUAACUGCAUAUGUUCUAUUUUAUUUACAUUUAUAUUUAACAUUCAUUUGAGUGAACUUUCAUUUAAAUUCGAGCUGUAUAAAGUACAGUACAGUCUCUGUGUACAGGUAGCCGAUGAGAACCUGUGGGAGACGUGGAUGAGGUGAAGCUUUACAGCUCUGUGCACAACACAGGCUUCAUUGUAAACCAGGAAAUGAGAAUUAAUCUAGAUAGAGCUUGAGAUUUGACCGCUGGGCCAAAGUACACAAACACCGAGUUAUCAGUUAUUCAGAUUAAACUGUCACUCAGAGCACAGAUUGGUCUCUCAGCUCACGCCGCACAUAACGGGUGAAGCCGAAAGCCAAGCUGACGAGCUCUCUCUGGUGACUCACUCGCGUGGUGGGCCGAGCUUUUAACGAGCUGCUGUUAUUUUUGCCACGUCUGGGGGAGUAACGGUGGAGGCCGGAGAAGGAAAAAAGGCCGAGCAGCAGCGACAGUCCAAACAAAACCCUCAGCUCCUGGACUUUCUCUCUGUGACCUGUCGGACAAAGAACAUCACCCUGCUUACGUUCCUCCUUCUCCGAACACACACUACGCACUCUUCAUUUCACGCUUUUAAUAGGGCGAGAAAUAAUCCUGGACCAGUUUACUGCAAAACCAUCGACGGAUCGAAGCGGACUUACUCAUUAAAACGCUUGACAGAGAGGUGCGUUAGAUAAGCGUUAGCGUUUAACCAUGUCUAAAGGUUAAACAGGUGGAACUCAAAACAUUUUUUCUCCUUGAACCCGCCCCCACGCCUUCCAGUGGACAAUAGCAUGGCGAGCUUAAAAAAUAAAUAAAUAAAUAAAUAAAUGAAUAAAACAGAGACCAUUAUGCUGCUUAAAAGCCAAGUUGUAACAAUAUAAACACAAAACUGUGCUCAGAACAUUUUAUGAGAAUGGUCACGGGUGUAGUCACGGUCCUAUUUUCUUCAUAAUGACAACCAAACGUAUCCACGCAGUUCACUGUGUAUAAAAACCCUGUAUUUACCCAAUACUCCUAAUACGCUUACAUUACUUUUUAUGAUGUACUACAGUGCUGUGGAAAAGUAUCCUGAUUUCUUCAGUUUUUGUGUGAAUCUCUUACUAAAUUGUUUUAGAAAUUAAAAGAAAAUCUAAAAAAGGUACAACAAAGCCAGCCUGAAUAAACACAAAAUAUAGCUUUUAAAUGAUAACGUUAUUUAUUCAAUCCCCCAAAUCUAUGAAAGUGCAUUGAUAACGGGGUUCAGCUGGACGAGACACAGCCAGGCCUGAUCACUGCGAACCCUGUUCAAUCACAUCAGCACUUACAUAGAACUCUUUCGACGGCAGGAAGUUAAAAGGUCUUACGGAGUAACACACUGUGGCGAAGUUGAGAGAGAUUCCAGAGAUGAUGAGGAAGACGGUGAGUGAAGUACAUCAGUCUGGGAAGGGUUACAAAGAUAUUUCAGAGGCUCUGGGACUCUGAAGGACCACAGCGAGAGCCGUUAUCUCCAAAUGGAAAAGCACAGUAGUGAACCUUCUCAGAAGUGUCCGACCUUCUAAAAUUCCUCCGAGAGCACAGCGACGACUCAUCCAGGAAGUCACAAAAGACCCAAGGACGACAUCAAAGGAACUACGGGUAUCUCUUGCAUCAAUAAAGGUCACUGUUCAUGACUCCACUAUCAGAGAGACACUGGGGGAAAACGGCCUCCAUGGAAGAGUGGUGAGGUGAAACCCACUGCUGACCCAGAAGAACAUUAAGACUCGUCUGAAUUUCGCCAAAACACACCUCGAUGAUCCUCAAACCUUUUGGGAGAAUGUUCUGUGGAUUCAUGAGUCGAAAGUGGAACUGUUUGGAAGACAGGGGUCCUGUUAUAUCUGGCGUAAACCAAACACCUAUUCCCACAAGAAGAACAUCACAGCUACAAAUAGUCAGACUUUCACAGUGACGUUUGUUACUAAUGAGACCUUUUAGCCGAACUCACGUUCGACGCACAUGAAUCGAAGAGGGCUUCGGAUGAAUGUGUGUUGUGAGGACACGCAGCACGUCUUGGCCAAAAAUUGCGGAAAUACUGGGGUGAUUUUGAAAAUGAACAAGAUGCCAACAAAUCAGUCGAACGGUGUCAUAAGUAAGGAAUAAAACACUUUGUUUUGUGUCGUUACUGUAAAAUAACGAGCAACGAGGUGGAGUGAUGAGUUACUGUCACCACCCCGAAGGGGAUUACUUUCCUACAAGAGCGCAUACACAUUUACACAACAUACCCCGACACCAUCGGAACAUUUCUCCAUUCCCUGUAAACGUUCGAUUUUACGAGUAUUUUUGAAAUUUUACAAGAACAACCAAACGAGCGGUGGAAUUUAAACAACUGGGGACGGAUUCACAAAGCAUUCUUAAGAAAUCAUAAUUCUUCUAAAUGGCCAAUUUCUUCUCAUUUCCUAACUUGAGAAAGAACGUUAAGAAUAUUUUGUAUUCCCCAAAAUUCUUAGGAAGGGUCUUAUUUUAUUCCCCUUAAGCUUCUAAGUUUCUAAGAAGAAAAAUCAAGAAAAAUUCCAAUUCUUGAAAAGAACGUUCUUAAAAAUGGUGAAUAACUCGGUAAAGUUAGAAUUUUAAUGAAUUUAUCGGGUCGUUUCAAGAAUGAAACCUGACAAAAAUGAUCAAACUUGUCGCAUAUAAUAAAUAACGUAUAACCACUGCAAAAACAAACACACCUAUACGCAUGAAUAAAUGAUUGGGAGGCGAUUGCUACUUAAUGAAAAGGGUUAGAUUGAAUAUUAAAACUGAUUAAAGUUUGGUAGCAGUGAAUUUGCUGUAGCCAUUACACUACUGUCAUCUUAUUUUAAAGAAAAAAAAAAUGAAGACGUUCUUAAGAAAAUAUAACUUCUAAAGAAUUUUUCAAAGAACCGCACUUAGGACCAUUCUUACAAACUUCUCAGAGUUUAUCCUAAGAACUUUAACUUCUUCCUGAAGAUUUCAUGAAUCCAGCCCCUGGUCCAGAAAUAAAAAAUAAAUAAAUAUAAAUAUUUUUUUUAAAUAAAAAGCACCAACCGCAUGAAUACUGAUGAUACUUGGAAAAGUGCAUCGUGACCGAGAUCACAGUACAUAUCGCAAGAUCAUACUCAGUAUCAAAACAUCCGGCCGAGACCGAUCAUGUGAUUUGUAAAAAAUUAAAUACAAGUUAAAGAUGUCAUUUUCUGUAGCUGACUUUUUAUAAGUCUAUUUUUGCCUGUUACAUGACUAAUGAUGAGCUAAAUAAAUAAAUAAAUAAAUAAAUAAAAUGUUCAAUAUAAAAUCUUUGUUUCCAUCUUCGCUUGCGCAAAGUCGACUAGAAAUAAAGACUUUUAUAAGAGAUGGACAACAUUUUAAAGUAAGUUUAUUGCGAAAGCGAGUUCCACGCCUCGAUAUACCCUAGUGAUUCAGCACAAACACUUCGUUUGGCACAUUCAUUUUUUUUUCAGUCUUUGUGGAGGCUGAUUUUGCAUGUCACGGUUUUCCUGUGUUAGAUAAGGGGUCUGGAAGGGAAGACGGGCUGCAGAAAGCUGAUAUUAACGCGCUCAUUUUAAAACAUUCUUCUUUCUAUAGUAACAGUUCGUUCCCAGGGACUCGUAUAGCGGAUGCGCCACUUUACGACCGGAUUUCUUAAAAAAAAAAAAAAAAAAAAAAAAAAAAAAAAAAAAAAAAAAAAAAAUGCUGGGUAAUUGUUUUCUUAAAGUAAGAGGAUGCUUAGUUUACAUUUGCGGAAGGGGAGUCAACAGGAAAUUUCUAAAAGUGCUCGUUGUUAUAAAUACAUUACGGUAACAGCUCGUUCAGAGGGACGUUGACAGUCAUCUAUAAGUAGAAAACGAUUUGUAGAACUUUACACAGCACAGCGAUGUUUAUCCUGCACUCAACUUUGUGUGUGUGAAGAACCUCCCUGACGCCAGCUUGUGAAAUCCUGUGAAUAAUGACAACACACACACACGAACCCCCAACCCACACGCUGACUAAAACACAGCACUGGCAGACAUGUGCUGCUCACAGAUCGGAAGACAGAGUGUUUAACACUUCUGUGUGAAUGUAUGUGCACGGAAGGAGCCUCCCCUGGCUCACCCGGGGCAGCGAUCAGUAUCAUACUGCUGAGCGGCUAAUCCUUCCAGCACGACGGUUCCACUAUGAAGUGGAACCACGACACGAAAAGAAGUACUAGUAGUAGUAGUGAUGAAGAAAGGAAGGGCUGAAAGAACUUGCUUUAAAUUCCAAGAAACUGGAAACGGGUCCAUUUUUAAAAUAAAUUUUAGGGCUUUCAUAUUAUUUUAUUUAAGGUUAUCAUGGUAUUUUCUCUCAUCUUCUUUGGAACCAGGCCAAAAGCAGUUUUAUUGUAUUUAUGGUUUUUAAAUUUUUUUUU